rnacentral:rRNA from 1 species
GUUGCCUCGGCGGAUCAGCCCGCUCCCGGUAAAACGGGACGGCCCGCCAGAGGACCCCUAAACUCUGUUUCUAUAUGUAACUUCUGAGUAAAACCAUAAAUAAAUCAAAACUUUCAACAACGGAUCUCUUGGUUCUGGCAUCGAUGAAGAACGCAGCAAAAUGCGAUAAGUAAUGUGAAUUGCAGAAUUCAGUGAAUCAUCGAAUCUUUGNACGCACAUUGCGCCCGCCAGUAUUCUGGCGGGCAUGCCUGUUCGAGCGUCAUUUCAACCCUCAAGCCCCCGGGUUUGGUGUUGGGGAUCGGCGAGCCCUUGCGGCAAGCCGGCCCCGAAAUCUAGUGGCGGUCUCGCUGCAGCUUCCAUUGCGUAGUAGUAAAACCCUCGCAACUGGUACGCGGCGCGGCCAAGCCGUUAAACCCCCAACUUCUGAAUGUUGAC